GCAAAACUCCAGAGUUUAUCUCCUGUGGUGCAUGUGAGAUGACUGUAUGAGGUAGACAGUCUUCAUCAGAUGGUGUCUUAGAUACCUGUGACACUAAGAGGCUCAGGAAUACAGAAUGCUUCCUGUGUUCCCAAGAACAAUGGAGAAAUGACUCAGAGAACUAGCUGCUUGGUAAAGUAUGAGGAAGGACCCACAAAUAACCAAUACGACCAAAGAGUAAUGAGGUCAUCCCAUCAAAUGCUGAUAUGGGCACCCAUAUUUUAAAGGGCCAGAUGUGGUCUCCCAGUGAUUUGCCUUAUGAAAAUCUGCUAGAACAUAUCUUCAGUCCCAGAUAAAAGCAGUUACUGAGAAGGAAUGCCACAGUGACUAAAAGACUGAUCCCAGGAUGAUGAAUCAAAGAUGAUAAUCAGAAUCUCUAGCAGUUGAUUGAGGACUGGCAUCUGAAUCACUGGACUGUCCUAAUCAACGACAUAGAAGAUAAAAGAGUGGCUAAAGAAGGUGGACCUUUGUCAAGCAACAUGGCCUGUUCUAUCAUCCCCUAGUUGAAUACCAGUCCUGUUUACAAUGACACAUUUGAACGAGGAAUGAUGAAAUCAGUAAUCUUUGCUUUGAACAUGGUUAAUAUUUCACUAUUAUUUUGGCAGUGAUUUAACCAACAGUUUCAUUUGCUUUUUAAGGCCACACACAAUCAACUGUUAUUAGUAACAGAAAAGAAAGAAAUGAACUGAAGUGAUCUUGAAACAACUGAUCUACUGAUCUCUUGUUAUUAAUUGACUCAUUUUAAAAUUACUAUUUUUUGUGUGUUUAGCUUAAGUUGGUUUUUAGAAAUGUGACUCAUGAAAUAGCAGCACAAAAAUAGGUAAAUGUAGAAAAACUUCCUGUAACACAGAAAUGCAAUGGCAUUAUAUGUUUAAUAAUGGUUAUCCAAGAAUUAUUCUUCAAGGUUGAAAUUCUGGGAAAAAAUUCUUUGAAUAUGGUUUUGUAGUCUAGGCUUGAGCUAUGGAAUCUAUGGCUUCUAAAUAAAAGAAGUCCUGGCCAGUCUUCCCA
ensembl:lncRNA